CUUUGGGUGAAAGAUUAAUUGCCUGGAGAUGAGCUCGCGUCUGAUUAGCUAGUUGGUGUGGUAAGAGCGCACCAAGGCGACAAUCAGUAGCUGGUCUGAGAGGAUGAUCAGCCACACUGGGACUGAGACACGGCCCAAACUCCUACCGGAAGGCAGCAGUGGGGAAUUUUCCGCAAUGGGCGAAAGCCUGACGGAGCAAUACCGCGUGAGGGAGGAAGGCUCUUGGGUUGUAAACCUCUUUUCUCAAGGAAUAAGUCAAUGAAGGUACUUGAGGAAUAAGCAUCGGCUAACUCCGUGCCAGCAGCCGCGGUAAUACGGAGGAUGCAAGCGUUAUCCGGAAUGAUUGGGCGUUAAGGGUCCGCAGGUGGCAGUGUAAGUCUGCUGUCAAAAAUGAGGCUCACCUCAUCAGGCAGUGGAACUACCAGCUAGAGUACGGUCGGGUAAAGGAAUCCUGGUGUACGGUGAAUGCGUAAAAUCAGGAAAACACCGGUGGCAAAGCGUUCUGCUAGCCUGUACUGACCUG
rnacentral:rRNA from 1 species